rnacentral:rRNA from 1 species
AUUGAACGCUGGCGGCAGGCCUAACACAUGCAAGUCGAGCGGAUGAAGGGAGCUUGCUCCCGGAUUCAGCGGCGGACGGGUGAGUAAUGCCUAGGAAUCUGCCUGGUAGUGGGGGACAACGUUUCGAAAGGAACGCUAAUACCGCAUACGUCCUACGGGAGAAAGCAGGGGACCUUCGGGCCUUGCGCUAUCAGAUGAGCCUAGGUCGGAUUAGCUAGUUGGUGAGGUAAUGGCUCACCAAGGCGACGAUCCGUAACUGGUCUGAGAGGAUGAUCAGUCACACUGGAACUGAGACACGGUCCAGACUCCUACGGGAGGCAGCAGUGGGGAAUAUUGGACAAUGGGCGAAAGCCUGAUCCAGCCAUGCCGCGUGUGUGAAGAAGGUCUUCGGAUUGUAAAGCACUUUAAGUUGGGAGGAAGGGUUGUAGAUUAAUACUCUGCAAUUUUGACGUUACCGACAGAAUAAGUACCGGCUAACUCUGUGCCAGCAGCCGCCGUAAUAC